ensembl:lncRNA
CUUGUCUUGGAUGACAGGAAAACAUAUUAAUAUAUCCUUUCUCUUCAGUUUAUCACAGGUUCUGACAACAGCCAUGUGAUCAAAGAUAAAGAGUCAUGGAGGUAAACAGGUACUGCUGCUGCCACACAGUUUAUACCACAGAAUGUCUUCUCUCCUGGAAUCACAGUUAACUCUCUGUCUCACCACUGCUGCACAGCAAGACUCACUUUUUAAAUCGCACAGAAAAUCUUGGAGAAGAGGUAAGCUGAAUCAUAAGACUCAAGGAAGACACCCAGCUUUGGUCAUCUUUGUGCUUAUGGAUUGAUCUGAUGCUGAAUUUCAACCUGCUGUUUAAGCUAAUUACCACCCUCCAGCAACCCCACAAGAAAGAGAACAAGGUAAUUGUUUUCAUUUUCCAAAACUACAAUGGGGCAAAACUAACCUGUACAAUUCUGGAUGAUGGUAAAUAACCCUCUUUUAUGUCAACUGAAAAUCAGUACACAGUACCUAUGUGUUGCUGUUGAUUUCUUCUGAGAGGAUUUGUUCUGAGAGGAGGAGCGUGGUGGGGGCAAGAGGUGUGGAGUUACCACACAGACCCCGGGAGUCAGGUGAAAACCCGGCCUGAAGCAAGCAGCCUGCAGACUCCUUUAUUUCAGUUGCUACAGCUGCUUAUGUAGCCAAGGCCAGCCAAUCCAGUAAAGGGGCGGUCUAUGCCCUAACCAAUCACAGCUUGUUGCCAGGCAGUUUCCAAAGCCAUCCAAUCAUGGCCUGCUGCCAGGCAGUUUCUGUUGUCAGCCGCUGUCUUGGCAUGACCUUUUCACCUCAGUGGCCAUCUUGGCAUGACCUUUUCACCUCCUCGUUCCACCACAUCUAUGCAUCUCUGGGAAUUUUGCCUCAGUUGUCCUGAGCUGGUGUUAGCCAACUACUGAGAAGCAAACCCUGUGCUCUGCUGGAUGAGAACUUCCUGACUUGCAUCUUUGAUGUGGCUCCAUGGAAAAGCUGACUAUAUGUAUACAGAAAUCUACUUUACUCUUCUCCUGAGAAUUGGGAUAAGUCCCAGAAUUAUGGUCACCAAAAAUUCCUAUGUCUCAAAGAGAAACAUAUUACAGAUCUCUGACACAUAGGGUAUCAUUGAGAUCCUAUGCAUUCCAAGAUAUUGAUUUGUAUAUCAGCUGGUGCUGAGAUUAUAUCCAAGCCUGAGAAAUCCUUAGAACACCUCGAAUAUGGUGCAUAGGACAGACCAAGUACAAUGGGAUGCAGGUGAUUUCUUGCCUGGAAUGUCAUGAUAAGCCUCUCAUAUCAUUCAAGAUGGAUCUGAGAGAUUUAAUUGCAUCUGUGGAGAGCUGAUCAAACUGGCUAUUUUAUUGAACUGAUUGAAUGACUCAGUCAGAACUCUUAGUCUGAAUGCUCUGAAUCGACAGAGCUCAUUUGAAGGAUUAUAAAAGGCAGCUUUAUAUUUCUAAGGGAGCAGCAGUAAAUAUAUUCAGCUUAGAGCCAAAUCCAAAUUGCUUAUAUGUGCAAAUGAAAAUCAAUGUUUAAAUUGCUUAUAACUUUUACUUUUUAACAUUAAAAAUGCAAAUAUAGACUCUGGCAUUUCCACUCUAAAAUUAGAUAAAAUGAAUUUAAUAUUUUAUUAUGUUCUGGAUUACAGUAUGUGUGUAUGUGUGUGUGUGUGUGUGUGUGUGUCUGCAAAAUUUUCAGAAGGUGAAAUGGAAAAGCAAGCAAAAUUGGUUGUGUUCUCAUAAGUAGGAACAGCUGAUCUGAUGUUGCACUUUUGUGGAAGAAAAUAUUGCCUCCUGCUUUGAACAAGUUUCUUGCAAAGAAUUAAAUUUUCAUUAUGUACCCAAAGUUUUAAUGAGAAAUGAUAAUUUGAAUAAAUUUAACUGUUUAAGUAUAGCA